CUCAAAGAGGAGGCCCAGAAACGCCGUGAGCGCAUCGAUGAGAUCAAGAGGAAAAAGCUUGAAGAGCUGAGUUCCUUAGUUACCAGGACAAGAGGAUCAACCAUGGCAGCCUUCCCCAUCUGCAGCAGAGGGUCCGCUUUGCAGCCUCAGACCCAAGCCAGUACGAUGCCUCCAUCAACCUCAUGAACCUGCAGGUAUCUGAUACAGCCACUUAUGAGUGCCGGGUGAAGAAGACCACCAUGGCCACCCGGAAGGUCAUUGUCACUGUCCAAGGUAUGGCCAGACUCCUCUAAGCUCCUCUCCCCCUGGCUUAAGAGCCAAGGGCAGCUUGGCCACUUUGAGCCUGGCUCUGUCUCUUGGCUGGGCCCUGGCUUACAAUUGUCUGCCUCCUUGCAGCACGACCUGCAGUGCCCAUGUGCUGGACAGAGGGC
rnacentral:lncRNA from 1 species